GAUGAAGAACGCAGCGAAAUGCGAUACUUGGUGUGAAUUGCAGAAUCCCGUGAACCAUCGAGUCUUUGAACGCAAGUUGCGCCCGAAGCCAUCAGGUUGAGGGCACGUCUGCCUGGGCGUCACAUAUCGUUGCCCAAUGCCUAUUGCAGUGCAAUAGGAAUUUCUAGGGCGAAUGAUGGCUUCCCGUGAGCGUUGUUACCUCGCGGUUGGUUGAAAAUCGAGUCCUUGGUAGGGUGUGCCAUGGUAGAUGGUGGUCGAGUUAGAACGAUACCGAUCAUGUGCAUGCUCCCCAAAAUAUGGCCUCUAUGACCCACACGCGUCUUUUGACGCUCAUGACGAGACCUCAGGUCAGGCGGGGCUACCCGCUGAAUUUAAGCAUAUCAAUAAGCGGAGGA
rnacentral:misc_RNA from 1 species